rnacentral:lncRNA from 1 species
CAGGAGUCUGGAGAUGAACAUUGAGUUUUUGUGCCCAGUUCUGUGGACUCCAGGCUAGACUUGAGCUCGGCCUGAGGCUGCUCCGCAAGUCGCAGGGAUCCUGGCUGUCCCUCAGGUAACGCCCGCUGCUGGAGGCGGGUCCUGGGCCACGGGCUGGCUGACUUUGGAGCUGCUCUCCAGAGGUCAGGAUGCCAUUUUGGUGCAUGCUUGCUUCCCUGCGCCUUCCUCACCCGCUUCCGUGCCUGCAGUGCAGUCCCCCCGUCUCACAGAUUUCCUGAACUGCGGCCCCUCCCCUCCCCAGUGUGUGUCCACAUGAGCUACACCCACGGCACUGUGCCUGCGAUGUGCUCCGCCCUUCCGCGGCCACUGUCCCUCACUCUCCACACCGCAGGACACUGGGCAAUGACAGGCAAUGAGCAUUUUCCAGCUCCCAUGCGUGUGUGCCUCCCCUCUGCAGGGGCUGGGUCAGGCGGGGCUGGCCUUCUGAACUGUCAGGAGUCUGAUGACGUGUUUGAAAAGAAAACUUUUUAAAAAGAGAAAGGGGGUGAGAAAGACAUGAUUUGGAAACUAUUUCCAGGACUUGAAAACAAGUGUAUGAUAUUCGAUCUGCUCCUGACCUGUGUGCUGAGCUCAUGUUGCUAAAUAGCACUUGCUUGAUGGAGAAAAUAUUUGGCAAGAACUACAAGCUUCAUUCAGAGGGGAGUCCAGACGCCAGAUAUGGAACGCGGCCCCACACUGCGAGCUGUCGGAAACCCUGUGCAAUUUAUCAUCCCAUCCCCAGCACCUACAAAAGCACACUUCAUGGACUAGAAGCAGGGCGUUUGUGUGGAAUGAAGGAAUGGUGGCUCCAGGGUUGCCUGCAGACACUGAAGUUUGAGGAUUCUAACACCGGGACAUGAGAGAGAAUGUGGGAAAUGACGCUGAGAAAACCCUGGAAGGCAUUAGAGGUCUUAGAAACUGCGUCCCAGGAAAAGCGGGAAGCCGAGGCAGCGCGAAGAGCCCUGCCUGGUGCAGGCAGGAGUGAGGCCUCAGUGGGCUGCCUAGGGGAUGCAUUGUGAAACCUGCUCUAGAAACAAUCAGAGACGGGGA